ensembl:lncRNA
UGGUGUUAGUGAUGUUAGUGGUGUUGGUGGUGUUAGUGGUGUUGGUGGUGUUGGUGGUUUUGGUGGUGUUGGUGGUGUUGGUGGUGUUGGUGGUGUUGGUGGUAUAUUUGAACAAAGUAGGGAUCAGGAAAUAAAUGAUAAAAUAAAAAGUAACGAAUAUAAUAUAGGUGAAAAUGAUACCAUAAGUACAACAGUAAAUAUGGAUGGUAUUACUGAUGGAACGACUAAUUUUAGUCAAUUACGUCUCCUUCAAAAUAACCAAUCGCUUAUGAACCUAAAAAGAGAUUUCGUAUUUUCUUCCCAAAAUGAACAACAACCAAUCAUACAAAACAUACAAAACAAAAUGGAUGUUACUUCUAAUAAUAUUAACAUACAAGAAACAAUAACAUCAGUAACGAUGAGAGAAGAAGAUGGUGAUGGUAACGAUGAUGAUGAUGAUGAUGAUGACGAAGAGGAUGAUGAUGAGGACACUGAAACAGAAACUCUAAAUGAAUAUCGCAAUACAUUAAAUAAAUUAUUCGAAAUGGAUAAGAAUUUAAAAAUUUUAUAUGAUAUGUGUAAAGAAAAUAAUUUAUUGACUGAAAAAGAAUUUAUAAAUAUACAUAAAAAUGAUAUAUAUGAAUAUAAAAAUAUGCAUAAUUAUAAGAAUAGUUAUAUAUUAAAAGAACCUAUAUAUAUAUCUGAAGAGGAAAAAAAUGCUAAAAGUGUUACAAUAGAUAAAGAAAUAAGUAAAUUAAUUUUAUCAGAAAAUAAAAAAUUAAAAGAAUUAUAUGAUUAUUAUGUAGAACAUAAUAUUUUAAAUGAAAGUAAAUUUUGGUAUUUUUUAUUUAAUAACAAAUAUAGUCAUUUAUUUUUUUAUGACAAAAAUGAAAGAGAUAAUAAUAACAGUAUGAUGUUAGGAGAUAAUAAAAAUAUUGUAAAUAUUAAAGAAGAAAAUAUAAAUAUAAAAAAUCUGACGUAUGAUAUAGAAAAUAUAAAACAAGAUAUAAAAGGAACUUUAGAAAAAUGUAUUUUAAAAGAGUAUUUAACAACUAAAAAUUAUGAUAAAAAAAAUUAUUUAUUUAAAAAUAAUUAUUAUUUUAGAGAUGAAUAUACAGAAGGAUUUGGUAUGUUUACUAAUGAUAAAUUAAUUAAAAAUAAUAAUAAUUCGAUCAACUUAUUGAUAAAUAAAUUUAAUAAUUAUUGUAUACGUAUGAUUAAAGAUAAAAAUUUUACUAUGGACAAUUUUUAUGAAGAAAUAAAAAAUAAAAUCGAUGAUACAGAUUUAAACCCAGUUCAAGAAAAAGUAGAAAUACAAUUAAAUUUGAACAGAAAAAGAAGUAUAUACGAUAUGGAUAGUAAUACGAAUAAUGAGCUCCCAGAAAAUAAAGACAUAUUAGAUAAACAAUUUGCUGCAUUUUUUAACGAUUUGAAAAAUAAUAAGCAUUCCAGUAAAAAAAACUACGUCGACUUGUUCAACAUAGGUAAAGAUGGGCGUGCGUACAUGUAUAUUUAUAAACCAUAUACAUAUGUGUAUAUAUAUAAACGUACAUAAUAUGCGAUCCAUGGCCCUGUCCCAUGUUAACAUAAAAAAAAGCCUCCGUCAAUCAUCUGUGUGGUACAUUUUUGUGCUAUC